AUACGUAGGGUGCGAGCGUUGUCCGGAAUUACUGGGCGUAAAGAGCUCGUAGGUGGUUUGUCGCGUCGUCUGUGAAAUUCCGGGGCUUAACUCCGGGCGUGCAGGCGAUCCGGGCAUAACUUGAGUACUGUAGGGGAGACUGGAAUUCCUGGUGUAGCGGUGAAAUGCGCAGAUAUCAGGAGGAACACCGGUGGCGAAGGCGGGUCUCUGGGCAGUAACUGACGCUGAGGAGCGAAAGCAUGGGUAGCGAACAGGAUUAGAUACCCUGGUAGUCCAUGCCGUAAACGGUGGGCGCUAGGUGUAGGGGUCUUCCACGACUUCUGUGCCGUAGCUAACGCAUUAAGCGCCCCGCCUGGGGAGUACGGCCGCAAGGCUAAAACUCAAAGGAAUGGACGGGG
rnacentral:rRNA from 1 species